rnacentral:rRNA from 2 species
GGAUGCGAUCAUACCAGCACUAAAGCACUGGAUCCCAUUAGAACUCCGAUGUUAAGCGUGCUUGGGCGAGUAGUUUCCCCGAUGGUACGCCGAAAACGUAUUUG